ensembl:lncRNA
CAGGAAAAAGGUACAAAAGCUGUCAGUGGAGUGGUCCCCUUAUAAUCUCCCCUAUAUUAUACUGUAUGUAUUUGCAGGAUCCAUCACUAGAUCUGUGAAAGGAAUAAAGGGAGGCAACGCCACGCUGUCAUGUCAAUUUGAAGCCAAAGACAUUCAUUAUAUUGAUUUAAGCAGAUGAGAUUUCAGUGAAGGAAGGGGCGGAGCUGAAGUUGGACGUUCUGUUGCCCAAUGCUUAUAAAGUAGUGCACUGGACCAAAAGAAGCACAGGACGGAAGGAGGACUGGAAUAGAAGCCUUGGGGUCAGAAGUGAUCGAAUGACCAUCAGAGAUGGAAACCUAAUUAUUAAUAAUUUUACAGCCACUGACGCAGGAACAUAUGAGGUUCUGGACACUGUGGGAGAAAUCCUGAUCAUGGUGACUGUCACAGAAUCAAAGGACAAAAUGAACUACAUGAAUGAUGACAAACAGCAACAUACUUCCUCUCUUCCACCUGAAGCAUACUGGAUUGUCGCAGUUGAACUGUCAGUGGUUUUGGUGAUUCUGGUUGCUUUAAAAGGAAAAAGGAUGCACAGAUGUUCAGGGGCACAGCUGCACAUUUACUGAGGGGUUUGCAAGAUCAUUGUUAGUGCUCCCCAGUGUUGUGACUCCCGCCAAAAAAUAAAAAAUAAUAAUUAUAACA